rnacentral:lncRNA from 1 species
AAAUCCAUGCAUAAAGCAGGAGGUGGCAGCUAUCAAACGGGCUGCCAACCAUGGGCCCAGUUAACCUAUUAGAUGUCAUGGCCCAAUGCUCGAAUAUGGGCCCAAAAAGGCGUAUUGGGCCCAGUUGAUUUUUGGGCCCAGGUAUUACAGUUUUAAGCACUAAAAUGCCCCUCUGUUAUAUCCCUAAACAUCUCUGGACUGGUGGUGAGAUCCAAUUCGUGGGUUUGGUGGAGGGUCUUUCUAGACAAGUUUCAUUUUGCUCCCCCUGCAAACUGGAAGGCACUUGUGACCAUUUGAGGAUAUAAUAGGUACAAUAACAUUAAAAUUAUCUUGCAUCAUGAGAUGCUUAUUGAUUUACCGUAACUUAAUAAUAGAUCCCAUAAAAUACUUGCCACAAAAAAUGGUUAUAAAUAUUUUAUUGAAUUUUGUUUAAGGACUCAUAUGUCCCUUGCAAGCAUAGUGGUGCAAAAAGGAUACAUAUGCUAUUAUGAAAUAAGCUUUAGGAUGAUAACAGAGAUGUGGGAUUUGUUCAAAAGAUAUUGUUGUAUGUGUUUCACCAACACAUUUAAGAUUGGCAAUGACCAAAAAAGAAACAAUUUUUGAAAACGAAAUCUGGUGAGAAGGAACUUAGUUUGUGCAUGAGGACAUGUGAAAGUCUGUUCAGUAAACUUUAUGCAUUAUGAAAUAAAUAAACCAUGUCUUCUAAUUGCAAGAAAAUCCAUUGUAUAAAUCUCCCAUGAUUCUCUU